CAUCAAUGACGUCUGCAUCAGCUCCUGCCUCCAGGUUCCCGUCCCGAUUUUCUCCAAUGAUGAAAAGUACCAUGGAAGUAUAAGUCAAAUGAAUCCUUUCCUCCCCAAAGUUGUUUUUGAUCAUGGUGUUUCAUCAUAGCAAUAAUGACUUUAACUAAGUUAUUCAGGCCUACUGGACAGCAACUGGGUCUUGAGACUGUGAGAAGUAAGGAGAGGCCCUUGGUAAGGGUGCAACUUCAGUUUCAGUAGAAGCCCAAGGAUUGAAGAGACUGUGGAGAGAAGUUGAUUGGCCCAACAUGUCUGGGUCAGAGUCCCUAAGAAGAAGAUGUUGGUAACGAUGCAGUCCAGUUUAAAUAGAAACUCCAGCACUUUGUAGACGCCUGGACCAUGGGAUGAAAGCCAAGGACAGCAGCAGUUAUGAAGUAGAGGUGGCCUGAGCCUACAAGACAAACUGUGGGAAUGGUGCCCUUGGAGCUCAGAAGGCGGACCUCCCAACUCCUGAUUCUGAACUUUCACAGUUUGAUUUUCUUUGAUCUGAUUGUAACUGUACCAUGGUCUUCCUUUAUGUGUUAAGAAGAAUUUAAUAAAAAGAAAGAAAGAAGGAAAGGAGGGAAGAAAAAAAGAAAGAGAAAGAAAGAAAGGAGGGAGGGAGGAGGGAGGGAAAACUUAAUGGUUAGCAGGACACAGACCCACAUCCUCUGCUUCGAGGUUUCUGUGUGAGAGGGGAUUUGUACAUGUGUGGGAAUAGGCUUGCCUGCAUGGGUGCAUAUGGAGGCCAGAGGCAUCGAGUUAGGGCAGCUUUGUCAACCACUUUUCACCUCUGAGUUUUGAGACCGGAUCUGUUCACAGAUUCAGCUGGACUGGCUGUCUAGUAAGCUCCAGGGAUUUGUCCGUGUCUGCUUCCAUCGUUCCGAGGUUAGAGUCAUGCUGCCUGACCUGGCUUGGGUGUAGGUGCUGGGUAGGCCUAGAUGCUAGGUGUCUGAAUUCAGGUCCUCCUGCUUCUGCAGCAAGCACUCCCCACGUGGAGCACAUUCCAAGACCCGGAUUCUUGUUCUCAACACCUUUCAUCCUAGUAUAAGUUUCAGUGCAAACCUUGUAAUAUAUUUUGCACAAAUUCUUAAAUGUUUAAGCUUUUAAGCUUGAAUGAAGAGCAUGUUGUUGCCUAAUACAAAUGGGAUUUUGUUUAAAACACA